AAUGUACUUGAUGCCACUGAAUUGUGCACUUAAAAAUGGUUCAAGUGGCACAUUUUCUGUUAUGUAGAUUUUACAAUGAACAUUUUUUUUGGUAAAAUGAAUAAAAAAGAUGCUAAAGGACCAGCCUCGACUUUAACAGUAUUCAACUGACCUUGUACAAUCGUUAGAAAAGUUUCUAAAUGCUUACUUUCAGUUUCUGUAUCAUCUCACGCCGCCCAGCGCAGCCCGGGGCCUGGCGGCGGUCCGAGGAGCUCUCUUUGGUAGCGCUCACGGAGGCUGCAGGGACGCGGCCUCUGGCUUUGGAGAGCCUCUCAGGAGACUGACCAGGAGGAACAGUACACCUGCAUCUCUGCUCCCCCCAGCAGGAGAAAACAGCAGCCCAGCACUAAGUGCCUCCCCAAAGGCCAGAGGUCCUAUAGGAACAGUUUACUGCCAUCUCUAGGACACCCAGUAGCAUUACCCCAAGUUUCUAUCUUUACACCAUCUUCAUGUCCCAGCUACUCAAAACUGGCAUCUAAAAGGUCUCUGUGGGCACCCCGUGCAAACCUCCAACACCUGCGACGCGCCAGAGACUGAGGAUGACUGAUGCCGAGCUCCUGCACUCAACCCUCACUUUGUCCUAUUCGUUGUCUGAACUAGCGUUCGACUAACUACACUUGAUCUUGUUCUUGUUCGCCCUGCGUGGCCAGAACUCUUUACGUUCAGCUUUUCCCCAGAACUACAACUGAUCAUCUUGGUCUGGGUAAAUUUGGAAGUCAGUUCAAGGCACACGAGAAGCUGCAUCACCCCUGCCAACUUAAGAGUACGAACUUGGCUCACUCACUAGCCUCUGGUGGAAAAUAGUUGUCAUUCACAUGCAUGCUAGAUACUGAAGCAGGGUUCUAACGGGCCUUCUACACACACACACACACACACACAAUUUAAUCCUAACAACAUAUAUGAGAAAGAUUGAGAGAGACCACUAUUAUUCUUUAAGUUUGGUAAAACCCCAAAGAUAAAGCCGGAGCGGAGGAAGUCCACGCUGGGCACCCAGCAGACACCCCCCCCAGCAUGAAGUCAUCCGGGGCUCUCUCACUAUGAGGUACACGGCUUCCAAGAGCUUUUAUGCCGAUGUCUGAGGAGCAAAUAAUCAUAUGCAAUUAAGGCUAUUUCCCAAAUAGCAUAGGAAAGCUGCCAAAGGCUUUCGCUGAAUUGAAAGGCAAUGCUCUGACACAUGGUGAAUAUUAUACCCUCCGGAAACAAGGAGAUGCCAACCUGAGCCACCCAGAUCACAUGCUACUCUGGAAAAGGUUCCUUUUAACCACCGCACCAAAGGUUGCUACGUGGGCCCAGAGAAUAUUAAAUAUUCCAAUUUUGGAGUCAUGGCUUCUAUGGCAGGAAAAGUAUGAGAGGACACAUCCUACCCCUGCCUGUAACAGAAAGCCAGUAAACUGUCAAAUACCUCUAACCAGGACCUCGAGAUUUCCCCCAAGCCCUUCUCUAGAAACCCCAUGUGCAGCUUCAAGCUGCCUUUUUAACAGGGACACGGGGACAAAACUAAGCUUGUUUGCAAAUAAACAUCUGAAAGACUAUUGCAGCAGCUGAUCUGGGCCGAGGCU